GGGGGGGCUAGAUGGUGGUUUUUACAUCAUAGGGUCAGGAAUACAUGUUUGUGUUCCUGACUCUAUAGUGAUCCUUUAACUGUGUUCUAAUUAUAAUACAAUAUCUGUAGAAGAUGGCGCACUCUUCGACACACCAACUAGAGUGGCCCCAGGCAAGCGGGCAACAUCCAUUAAAGUCAUAUCAACAAAAAAUGAACGUUAUAUGGGUCUUCUUCAAAAAACCUGCCUGAAACCGGCCUUGUGUCUUCCGUGCAUUCCUUUUGGCUCUGGAACUGAACAUCACUCAGCGUUGACUAGUUAUGUGUUCAUAUUGUGUAAAGGUGUCUUGUUAAAUGUUUUUUUCUUUGUUUUUUUAAACAUUUUUAUAGAUAAAUAAAAGCACAAGCAGUAGCUAAGUUUUGUUAAAAGAAAAAUCUUAUGAUUGUUGCUCUUCAAACAGUAAAUAGUAAGCCAUGAAUUAGCAUGUCCCUUUUUGUUUUUUUAUCUUGUACCGAAACAGAUUUAUCCCAAAAUACUGUACAG